UAUUUGUUAUUAAUUAUCGAUUAUUAAAAUUAUAAAAAUAAAAUAUUAGAAAUACCAAACAUUUGCCCCUAAUUAUUAGUGUAUAUAUAAGGUACAUCAAUCAUCAAAUCUCUUCCUCUCCAUUCUAGCCAAAAUCCCUUCUUCCUUCCUCAAAUCCUUUUUCUUUGAGAUAUGGAAGAAGUUCAAAUCAUUUCCACUUGUUUAGUUGGAGCAACAUCAAAUGAAUCAUUUUCAACCCCAAAAAACAUUUCUAAAGUUGAAAUGACACCAUGGGAUUUGCAAUUCCUCCUUCUUGACAAUAUCCAAAAAGGUCUUCUUUUCUACAAACCCAAAACAGAAAAUACUAACAAUAAUUCUCUUGUCACUAAAUCAUCACUCAUUAACCACAUAAAAACAUCCCUUUCUCACACUUUACACUUUUUUCCUUUGUUAUCUGGUCGUUUCUCUGCCGUUAAAAAGACGAAAGACAAUACUGUUUCUUUCUUCAUCAAUUGCAACAAUGCUGGCGUGGAAUUCAUCCAUGCCAAUGCUCCAAGCUUAACUGUAUCCACGAUUCUCUCUUCAUCAACUACAAUAACUUUGUUUCCACUAAAUAAUGUUCAAAAUUUUGAAUGUGUUACUAAGCCACUGUGGGGUUCAAAUAACAGAAUUGGUUGAUGGUUUUUUUAUUGGAUUCACUAUGAAUCAUUGCUUGGGUGACGGGACAUCUUUUUGGCAUUUUUUCAAUUCUUGGUCUGAAAUUUCACGUGGAUGCAAAAUUAUUUCCAAAUUUCCAGUUUUAGAACGUUAUUUUCCUGAGAAAAUGGAAAUUCCAAUUCAUCUUCCCCUAAAGAUGGAUGAUGAAAAAUUGUUUGAAAAAUUUGAAGCUCCAAUAUUUGUGGAGAGGGUUUUUCAUUUUAGUAAAGAAAGUAUAGGUAGACUCAAGGGUAAAGCCAAUUCAGAAAUGGACGUUAAAUCGAUUUCUUCUCUUCAAGCUCUUUUGGCUCAUCUAUGGCAUGCUGUUACUCGUUGUCGCAAGCUUGAUGCAGAAGAAGAAGUAGUCAUCACCAUUAUCAUAGGUACAAGAUCGAGGCUAAAUCCUCCUAUUCCGGAAGAGUAUUUUGGAAAUGCACUUCAUUUCAAGAAAGUAAAGACAAGUGCAGGGGAGUUGCUGAAAAAUGGACUAGGAUGGGCUGCAAUGCAAAUAAAUAAGAUAGUUCUUGCUCAAAACACUGAAGAAGUGGUGAAAAUGUACAAAGAUUGGGUUGAAAAUCCAAUUUUAAUCACUAAGGGCUCAGUAUAUGGUGGGAUUACGAAAUUGGCCAUUGGUAGUACUCCAAGGCAUAAUAUUUAUAGUAUUGAUUUUGGUUGGGGUAAACCAAUUGGUGUGAGGAGUGGGAUGCCAAAUAAAAGUGAUGGAAAAAUUACUUUAUUUCCUGGUGCAAAAGAAGGAAGUGUAGACAUUGAAGUUUGUCUUUUAUCAGAGACUUUAAAAGCAUUGGAGAAUGAUAAAGAAUUCAUGGAGGCUGUAACUAAGAAAUAAAAACAUUUCUUAGUUUACUAGGAUCAUUUUUAUGUUGUAUUUGCUCAUUUACUUUUGUUAAUCGGUAUUAAAUACUCUUGAAUAAAAAAAAUUAAAGAAGGAUAA